UUGGGACGUUUUUUAAACACCUCUCCCCUCAGAAAAAUUCCAAACGUCCAAAAGCUCUCUCUAUAUCCUCUAGUUUCAAGUCUCUGCAUCUUCAAGCAAAGAGAAGAAGAGAAGAAGAAGCCGUGAAGCCUCCUAGCCACCAUCAUCCACCUUGUGUCGUGAAGCUUUGGAGCCUUGCUUUCAAGAUCCAAGACCAACGUCUCAAGCCUUCCACCAUUCAUCCUUCACGGUGGUUAAAUUGCGCGCUUGUUUUUAGCGUAUCAGAAAACGGGCCGGUUCAUUAAUGGAUUGGAUCAACCUAAUAUUUGUUUGACCACCCACAGGUCUAGGCUAAUAAUUUUAUUGUUGAUAAAGUCAUCUGGGUUUCACAUCCAAAACCAAUUGGCAAUUGAUGGAGUGGCCCAAACUCUUAUAAACUCAUAAGUAAGGUCUCA